UCCCCUGUAGCUUAGUCGGAUAGAGCACCGUACACUUAGUGCGGCGGUUGGGAGUUCGAGCCUCUCCAGGGGUA
rfam:Taenia asiatica genome assembly, scaffold: TASK_contig0008838